rnacentral:rRNA from 1 species
GACGGAGGAUGCAAGCGUUAUCCGGAAUGAUUGGGCGUAAAGCGUCCGCAGGCGGCAGUUCAAGUCUGCUGUCAAAGACCGGGGCUUAACUUCGGAAAGGCAGUGGAAACUGAACAGCUAGAGUAUGGUAGGGGCAGAGGGAAUUCCUGGUGUAGCGGUGAAAUGCGCAGAUAUCAGGAGGAACACCGGUGGCGAAGGCGGGUCUCUGGGCCGAUACUGACGCUGAGGAGCGAAAGCGUGGGGAGCAAACAGG